AUGUCCCUGAGCAGAGGUGAGUUCCACCAUCUCCUCUCACCAGAAUCUGAGUUCAUUUUCUGCAGGUGGGGAGCAGAGGGAACUACAGCUGCAGACGAUUCCCUAAUCAGGAACGCGGGUUUAAAAGGAGGAUGGAGACACUUCAUUUCACCGGAUGAUUGUACCAGUUCAGGAUCACCUCGUCAUCUCUCACCCUCGCUGUCUUUACUUCUGGAAUUAAUCAACACGUCUCCUCCUCCUCCGCCAUUCCUGCUCGGACUUCGCUCUGCUGCCUCACUCCUACGAAAUCUCUCACCCUCUGCUCAGCGUCCUUCCCGGCUUCCCUUCCCCUCAUCAUUCAACCUGAACACCUCAGAGACUCGAGCCGUCUUGGCUCCUCAGCACAGGACUUCCCUGUUGCAGUUUUCAGAUACCGUUUAUAAUAAAGACAUUUUUACUUUAUUACUUUGGACUUGUGUGAUGAUUCUGCAUGUCUUGGGUUAGGCACUCACCUCGAGCCAUGACAAAAUUAUCCUCCUGCGCCCACCUUCAGGGAGGUUAGGUACAGUCCCAUGGAUCUGAAAUUUCUGAAUAAUAUGUACAACUGUAGUCACAGGAACAUCUAGCUGCUUGGAGAAUGUCUUUUAGCCUUUACCUUUAAUGUGCUUGUCUAUAAUUUUAAUAUUUCUACCAUACCAAACCAAACCAAACCAUGCCAUGCCAUGCCAUACCAUACCAUACCAUACCAUACCAUGCCAUGCCAUACCAUACCAUACCAUGCCAUGCCAUGCCAUGCCAUACCAUACCAUACCAUGCCAUGCCAUGCCAUGCCAUGCCAUGCCAUACCAUGCCAUACCAUACCAUAAAAUAACAUACCAAACCAAACCAAGCCAUGCCAUGCCAUACCAUACCAUACCAUACCAUACCAUAACAUACCAAACCAAACCAAGCCAUGCCGUGCCAUACCAUACCAUACCAUAACAUACCAAACCAAACCAAACCAAACCAAACCAAGCCAUGCCAUACCAAACCAUACCAUAACAUACCAUACCAAACCAAGCCAUGCCAUGCCAUGCCAUGCCAUGCCAUACCAUACCAUACCAUACCAUACCAUACCAUACCAUACCAUACCAUACCAUACCAUACCAUACCAUACCAUACCAAUAAAGUUUAUUUCUAAAGCAUAUUAAAAACACAGCGUGAGAGCUGACGAAAGUGCUGUACAAUAAAAGCCGACUUAAAAUACAGUAAGUAAAACAGACUAAAACAAACAACAAUAAAACACAGAGUACACUAGCCAAAUGCCAAGUCAUAGAAGUCAGUCUUCAAUAGUGACUUUAAGCGGGUUAGGGAAGGUGCCUGUCUGACAUAAAGCGGAAGAGCAUUCAAAAGUGUGGGGGCAGCGAACACAGAGGCCCGCUUCCCCUGCGAUUUGUACUUCAUGGUGCAGGGUUUCCCCCAGAAAAUGAGUUAAGCCUAGCGGAUUCGGCCGUCGGGGGGUGGGUUGGGGGUG
rnacentral:lncRNA from 1 species